rnacentral:rRNA from 1 species
AUGAACGCUGGCGGCAUGCCUAACACAUGCAAGUCGAACGAAGGCUUCGGCCUUAGUGGCGCACGGGUGCGUAACGCGUGGGAAUCUGCCCUCAGGUUCGGAAUAACAGCGAGAAAUUGCUGCUAAUACCGGAUGAUAUCGCGAGAUCAAAGAUUUAUCGCCUGAGGAUGAGCCCGCGUAGGAUUAGCUAGUUGGUGUGGUAAAGGCGCACCAAGGCGACGAUCCUUAGCUGGUCUGAGAGGAUGAUCAGCCACACUGGGACUGAGACACGGCCCAGACUCCUACGGGAGGCAGCAGUGGGGAAUAUUGGACAAUGGGCGAAAGCCUGAUCCAGCAAUGCCGCGUGAGUGAUGAAGGCCUUAGGGUUGUAAAGCUCUUUUACCCGGGAUGAUAAUGACAGUACCGGGAGAAUAAGCUCCGGCUAACUCCGUGCCAGCAGCCGCGGUAAUACGGAGGGAGCUAGCGUUAUUCGGAAUUACUGGGCGUAAAGCGCACGUAGGCGGCUUUGUAAGUUAGAGGUGAAAGCCUGGAGCUCAACUCCAGAAUUGCCUUUAAGACUGCAUCGCUUGAAUCCAGGAGAGGUGAGUGGAAUUCCGAGUGUAGAGGUGAAAUUCGUAGAUAUUCGGAAGAACACCAGUGGCGAAGGCGGCUCAC